AUACCCUGGUAGUCCACGCCGUAAACGAUGUCGACUUGGAGGUUGUUCCCUUGAGGAGUGGCUUCCGGAGCUAACGCGUUAAGUCGACCGCCUGGGGAGUACGGCCGCAAGGUUAAAACUCAAAUGAAUUGACGGGGGCCCGCACAAGCGGUGGAGCAUGUGGUUUAAUUCGAUGCAACGCGAAGAACCUUACCUACUCUUGACAUCCAGCGAACUUUCCAGAGAUGGAUUGGUGCCUUCGGGAACGCUGAGACAGGUGCUGCAUGGCUGUCGUCAGCUCGUGUUGUGAAAUGUUGGGUUAAGUCCCGCAACGAGCGCAACCCUUAUCCUUUGUUGCCAGCGAUUCGGUCGGGAACUCAAAGGAGACUGCCGGUGAUAAACCGGAGGAAGGUGGGGAUGACGUCAAGUCAUCAUGGCCCUUACGAGUAGGGCUACACACGUGCUACAAUGGCGCAUACAAAGAGAAGCGACCUCGCGAGAGCAAGCGGACCUCACAAAGUGCGUCGUAGUCCGGAUCGGAGUCUGCAACUCGACUCCGUGAAGUCGGAAUCGCUAGUAAUCGUGGAUCAGAAUGCCACGGUGAAUACGUUCCCGGGCCUUGUACACACCGCCCGUCACACCAUGGGAGUGGGUUGCAAAAGAAGUAGGUAGCUUAACCUUCGGGAGGGCGCUUACCACUUUGUGAUUCAUGACUGGGGUGAAGUC
rnacentral:rRNA from 1 species